UUCUAUAGGCAAUACAGAAUGUGAAAGAAACAGCUGCAUCUGAAAUAGAUGAUCCGCUUUAAGAAAGUAAGCAACUAUUCCUGCCAAGCAAGUGGUUAAAAAGAACCUGUUAAAAUACAAGUGGUUUUAUAGUAGCUUCCUAAUUCAUUUAAGUAAGUAGAAGGAGUAUCACAUGCUUGUAAUAAGUUGCUUGUUCCUAAGUGGUGAAGAACACAAGGUUUGGGGUUUUUUUCCCCUGUAGAAAUGAGUAAACCCUGUAAUUCUUGCCAUAGGAUAUACUAAACAAUUAGGGGUAAAUUCCUGUACCUCUUGAAUUCGUGAAGUUACAGAAAAUCUGAGCAACAGUUAUUAAAGAUUCUUUAUAGUUUAAUAAAAAAUGUGUAGCACACAGCACAUUCCAUUUUAGAGAAGUGAUGUAUUUUAAGAGACAGUUCAUACCACUGUAGGUAAGUUUGGGCCAUUAGCACUUUAAAAUAGAAGUAUCUGGACAAUACAUAAGUUGUGCGUGUACUUCUCUCUGUGGUAUAACCCAUUGAUACAUUAUUUUUAUGGAGUAUCUUUUCCACUGUUCUUUAGAACACAGCUUCCUGCCUGUUCAGAAAGACUUACCUUGUUCUUGGGGCUUGUGUUCCAAGAAUGUCUGAGAGAGGGCUCAUGUGGGAGCUGGUGUGCAGCUUACCUUAGGGCUUAACAACUAUGGCAGGACUCGAUACCACCCAAUAUGCUACACUGAUUUUGGGUUCCAACAUCAUGACAUUUUUUUGAGAGCAGGCCCAGGAAUUUGUUAUCCUGGUCAUGAACAUCCAGCUUAAGUGGUCUCCUCUUGGAUCUCACUCUUUUAUUGUUGCUAUAGUGAACUACUGUUGUUGGAUUUUUGAAGGAGGGCAGACUGUUGCCUUAUCUGCAAUACAGCUGUGGGAGUUUCAGGGUCUUCCAAGAGAGGAUAUCUCAUUCCUGACAUGCUCAUCGAGAAGAGAAACCAUUUUGAUAGGUGUGGGUUGCUUGUCAGAAAUCCAUUCCAAAGCUUGGGUGCAAAUGAAGCAGGGUACUAAUGAUGAAUAA
rnacentral:lncRNA from 12 species